GUUGAACGCUGGCGGCGUGCUUAACACAUGCAAGUCGAGCGGCAGCGCGGGGGCAACCCUGGCGGCGAGCGGCGAACGGGUGAGCAAUGCACGGGAAUCUGCCUAGUAGUGGGGAAUAACCCGGCGAAAGCCGGGCUAAUGCCGCAUACGACCUACGGGUGAAAGCGGGGGAUCGCAAGACCUCGCGCUAUUAGAUGAGCCCAUGUCGGAUUAGCUAGUUGGUAGGGUAACGGCCUACCAAGGCGACGAUCCGUAGCUGGUCUGAGAGGACGGCCAGCCACACUGGGACUGAGACACGGCCCAGACUCCUACGGGAGGCAGCAGUGGGGAAUUUUGGACAAUGGGGGCAACCCUGAUCCAGCGACGCCGCGUGUGUGAAGAAGGCCUGCGGGUUGUAAAGCACUUUCGUUGGGAACGAAAUAUGCCGACCUAAUACGUCGGUAGGCUGACG
rnacentral:rRNA from 1 species